AUUGAACGCUGGCGGCAUGCCUUACACAUGCAAGUCGAACGGCAGCACGGGAGCAAUCCUGGUGGCGAGUGGCGAACGGGUGAGUAAAGUAUCGGAACGUGCCCAGUCGUGGGGGAUAACGUAGUGAAAGUUACGCUAAUACCGCACACGAUCUAUGGAUGAAAGCGGGGGAUCGCAAGACCUUGCGCGAUUGGAGCGGCCGAUAUCCGAUUAGGUAGUUGGUGGGGUAAAGGCUCACCAAGCCGACGAUCUGUAGCUGGUCUGAGAGGACGACCAGCCACACUGGGACUGAGACACGGCCCAGACUCCUACGGGAGGCAGCAGUGGGGAAUUUUGGACAAUGGGCGAAAGCCUGAUCCAGCCAUGCCGCGUGCAGGAUGAAGGCCUUCGGGUUGUAAACUACUUUUGUACGGAACGAAAAGGUUUGGCCUAAUAAGCUGAGCUCAUGACGGUACCGUAAGAAUAAGCACCGGCUAACUACGUGCCAGCCGCCGCCGUAA
rnacentral:rRNA from 1 species